ACGGUGCCUAUGAUGUGUUUAAAUAUACUUUGAGUUUAACUAUGAAAUGGAAGGUAUGCGAGGCACUUU
rnacentral:snoRNA from 1 species